rnacentral:rRNA from 1 species
UGGGCAACCUGCCCCCGACCCUGGGAUAACCCGGGAAACCGGAGCUAAUACCGGAUACUCUCCUCUGACCACCUGGUCGGAUGAGGAAAGGUCCGCCGGUCGGGGAUGGGCCCGCGGCCUAUCAGCUUGUUGGUGGGGUAACGGCCUACCAAGGCAUCGACGGGUAGCUGGUCUGAGAGGACGACCAGCCACACUGGGACUGAGACACGGCCCAGACUCCUACGGGAGGCA